GAGGAUUCAAAAAAAUUUAACACGUACUUACAUAAAGCACGCCUUAGGUGCCAGACUCUGAGCCUUUCACAAGUAUUAAAUCACUUAUCUUCAUAACAACCCCAUGAAGUAGGUGCUAAUAUUAUCAACAUUUUACAGAGGCAGAGACUGACAAAUGAGCGAAGUAACGCGCCCAGAUCCCUUGGCAGCCAGGACUGAAAUUUAACUGAGCGUGCCUGCUCGGGACCACAUUCUCUCCCCUCCUCCUCUCUCUCUCUCUUUGUCUUUUUAGGGCCACAACCCAGGAGUACGGAAGUUUCCAGACUAGGGGUCAAACCCGAGCCACAGCUGCCGGCCACAGCCACAGCCACGCCAGAUCCAAGCUGUGCCUGUGACCUACACCACAGCUCACAGCAAUGCCGGAUCCUUAACCCGCUCAAGGAGACCAGGGAUCGAACCUGCGUCCUCACGGAUACUACUCGGGUUUGUUCCCACUGAGCCCCAGUGGGAACUCCAGGACUAUAUUCUCUCAACAAUGGCACCCAGCUGUCUCAGGGAGCUGUCUGAGUCCUGAUUCUGCCACUCUGUGUGGGCACCACCCUUCCCACCUGUGUGUGACCUACAGAGCUGACAGGCAGGCCUUCGUGCGUGCCGCCACGAUGGAAAGAAACGUUGAGAAGGAUGAGACCAGCGCAGGCUGUUUUUACAAAAACAUAUCUGAAGCAAAGCCACGAGGACCCAACCAACAGCCCAGCAGGGAGAAGGCUCCCUUCUUCUGCAAGCCCGCAGGGACCCCCACGUCCUAGAGAGAACUGCACCGAGGCGCUGAGGACCCCGGAAGUGCCAUGGACGAGGGAGAAGGCGUCAGGAGGACCGUAUUACAGGCACGGGCAGGAGAGGGGCUGGAGAGCAAAGGAGAGGCAGGAGGACAAAACGUGCCGUGCAGAGGUACCGGGGGGCUGGCAGCACGCCUGAAGGAGAAGGCACUGGGAGCAGAGAAGAAGGAUGACUCGACGUUGCGCCUGAGCCUCUGGGACAGAGGAGCCUCCCAGACAUAGCAAUGAAUUCAAGAGACGGCAUGAACCGCGCAGGAUUUAUCGUCAACAAAACCCUAAGGAAAGGGACACGCAGCCCUGCAGAUGAAAUGUGCUGACAGUGAGAACACCUUGAUGCCUGAGACAUAUUAAGGAUAUUAACUGAUAACGGCAUGUAAAUUUAAAUGUGUUACAAAACAUCCUAUCUCCUAAUCUCCAAAGACACGAAGGCCAGUGAUAAAGCCAGUCUACCUCGGAUGCAGCAGGAAGUCCAUCUCCCUUGGAAAAAAGGACAACUGGUUAAAGACAGAGAUAAUCGGACAAAAUAACUUUUCCUGAACACUGCUAAUCCCUUCCUGACCAUCCAGCAUUUUCAGAGUAGGAUCUAAGAUUUUACGUGACAUGAAAUUCAGUGUUUCCACUAUUUUCUUCAUAGAAACACAGAAUCAUAAGGGAGGAGGAAAACGAGCAUUACAAAAAAUUCAUUUUGGGUAAAACAAAGAAAGUUAAGCCCCAGACCUCAGGAUAUCAAAAUGAUCACCAGUGCAAAUGGAGACUGAUGAGGGUGGGCGAGGAGAGGGAAGCAGACAAACCACAGGAACGAUGCAGCAGCUCGAGACUUUCAAAAAGCCAGCAGAAGCAUGAUGCUCAAACACAGUGGGCACAACCAGGACACGUGUGGUCUGUUUGCAGGAAGAGCAGUCAGGGUGAACCCGCUGGCAGCAGGAGCGUCCUGCACCAAAUUAACUUUCAGAAGCAGAAAAAGUAAAACUACAUGAAGAAUCACCUGAACAAGUCAUAUCUGAAGGCACUGUUCUCUCUCUAUGACAGCAGGAAAAACAAAAGUUUGAAUUGUUAAAGAAAUCUUUUUUUUUUUUCUUGUCUUUUUAGGGCAGCAUCCAUGGCAUAUGUAAGUUCCCAGGCUAGGAGCCAAAUCAGACCUGCGGCUGCCGGCCCACACCACAGCUCACAGCAAUGAGAGUGAGUGAGGCCACUGAGUGAGGCCAGGGAUCGAACCCACAUCCUCAUGGGUACUAGUCAGGUUUGUUACCACUGAACCACAAUGGGCACUCCAUAAAGAAAUCUUUUUUUUGUCUUUUGUCUUUUUAGGGCCACACCCGUGGCAUAUGGAGGUUCCCAGGCGACGGGUCUAAUCGGAGCUGUAGUGGCCAGCCUACGCCAGAGCCACAGCAAUGCAGGAUCCAAGCCGCGUCUGCAACCUACACCACAGCUCAUGGCAAUGCCGGAUCCUUAACCCACUGAGCAAGGGCAGGGAUCGAACCCACAACUUCAUGGUUUCUAGUCAGAUUCAUUAACCACUGAACCACAACAGGAACUCCAAGAAAUCUUUUUAAAUAAGUCUUUUUCACUGGCUGAGAAUAAAGGAUAAAUAAAUUCAUAUGUAAAAACCUGG
rnacentral:lncRNA from 1 species